rnacentral:rRNA from 1 species
AAGAUACAGCAGCAGCCACGGUAAUACGAAGGGUGCAAGCGUUACUCGGAAUUACUGGGCGUAAAGCGUGCGUAGGUGGUGGUUUAAGUCCGUUGUGAAAGCCCUGGGCUCAACCUGGGAAUUGCAGUGGAUACUGGGUCACUAGAGUGUGGUAGAGGAUAGUGGAAUUUCCGGUGUAGCAGUGAAAUGCGUAGAGAUCGGAAGGAACAUCUGUGGCGAAGGCGACUAUCUGGGCCAACACUGACACUGAGGCACGAAAGCGUGGGGAGCAAACAGGAUUAGAUACCCCCGUAGUCCCUGUCUCUUAUAC